UGAUCCCUGCGCGUGAUUGGGGCCAACUGUGAAAUCGUCGCCGAAAUCCUGCGGCGAAGGGUACAGAGAGCGCGCAAGAAAGUAGAGAGCUUCGUGUUUUAGCACCCUUGCAGGAGGUGUCAAACUAAAGCUCAUGGGAGAACUUCCUCAGACCUAGGAACCACUGAAAUCAUUACAAGAAUUGUCUUCAUCUCUGGAACUCUGAUGCUUUCCCCGAUCUACCAUGCCUCUUAUAAAAUGCUUAUUCUGAAAGGAAAUCAAGUGUUUCUUCGUUCUUUAAACAGAUUAAAAAUCCUGAAGAGUCUAGAGCAUAAAAUGGUAAAGUUUGGUGGUUCAUUCCAUCCUGAAUCUCUUUGCUCUCUCGAAGACUUUUGGAAAUUUGCAGACUAUUUCUGGAUAUCCUUUCUGGGUUUAGACUCUAACUCAUGAUGUCAUCUCGGUUUGCUUCUCUCCACAUCAUUCGUUGAGCCUGAGUUCAAGCUACUUAACCAAAAGAAACAAACUAAUUAAUUAAUUAAAAAAAUAAAAAUGCCAUUGACGAACAACAGAAGCAUUUCGUUUUGAAAAAGGGCAUGUACUCAGGGAUACAUGAAGAGAAUUUGCCUCAAAACUUUUCAGAAGUAUAGGUAAUAUAACCAGAAGUUACCCAUUUUCAUUGCUAUUGCGGCAUAUAUUCCCAAAGAAAAUAACUUGGCUUUGAAAAAUAGGUUUUAACUUUAUAAUAAACUUAGACUUCUAGAACAGUUGCACAUACCCUUCACCACGUCUUCCAUAAUGUUAAUGCCUUACAUCACCCAGGGCACAAUUACGAAAACUAAGAGAUUAACAUUGGUGUGUUUCCAGCAACCGUAUUUCUGUGCCACGUCCAGUCAAGAACUCACACUGAAGUCAGGUGCCAAUCUCCUUUGUUUCCUUAAUGUUCCCCUGCCUUGCAGAACCUUGGCACUCAAUAUGUGCUGGUCACUUGCUUUACAGAACGUCCUCCAGUUUGGGUUAACCCUAUAUAUUUUCAUUAUUAGAUUGAAGGUAGGUAGUUUUUAAAGAAGAUUGCAGACACGAUGGGCCUUUCUCACUGCAACAUGUCAAGGGUGUAUGAUGUGCAGAUGUUUUAUAACCCUGAUCGCUUACUUAGUUAAGAUGUUGUCUGUGGGUUUUUUCCAUUAUAAAGAUACCUUUUUUCCCUUUGCAAUUCCUAAUUAUCUUGGGAAAGAUACUGUGAGACUAUUCUGUUCCUCCUCAGAUUUUCUCUCCUAUCCUUUUGUAAAUCUUGCCUGCAACAAUUAUUACUGUGGUGUUGUAACGUUCAUAUUUUCCACAUUGCUUCUCUAUCCAUCAGUUGGCAUAUCCCUUCUCUGUUAAGUUUUUCAAUUAUUUGCUUAUACCAGUAUGUUGGGCUCAUGGAUGUUUAUUUUAGUCUGUGGACUCCAAUCCAGUACUCCGUUGAUUUUUUUCCUCAAACUAUUGCUGUUUUGACCAUUGGGAGAUUUUUUCAGGUUGUCUACUGUGCCCUUUUAAUAUGUUCCUAACGUUUCUGGAGCAUUUUCUCACUUUUGGGAACCUCAGCGCACUCCAGAUCAUCUUGUUUUAACCUGCUUGCAUCCUGGAAUCAACCCCUUCCUCAAGGAGUCCUGAGAGAUACUAGAAUAAUGAUUCAGGGGUGCCUGGGUGGCUCAGUUGUGUUAGGUGUCUGACUUAGGCUCAGUUCAUUAUCUCACGGUUCAUGGGUUCA